CCUACGGGAGGCAGCAGUGGGGGAUAUUGCACAAUGGGCGAAACCCUGAUGCAGCGACGCCGCGUGUGGGAAGACGGUCCUCUGGAUUGUAAACCACUGUCCCCAGGGACGAAGAUGACGGUACCUGGGGAGGAAGCUCCGGCUAACUACGUGCCAGCAGCCGCGGUAAUACGUAGGGAGCGAGCGUUGUCCGAAAUUACUGGGUGUAACGGGAGCGUAGGCGGUACUGCAAGUUGGGUGUCAAAUCUACCGGCUCAACCGAUAGCCGCACGCAAAACUGCAGUUCUUGAGUGAAGUAGAGGCAGGCGGAACUCCUAGUAUAGCGGUGAAAUGCGUAGAUAUUAAGGGGAACACCAGUGGCGAAGGCGGCCUGCUGGGCUGUUACUGACGCUGAGGCUCGAAAGUGUGGGUAGCAAACAGGAUUAGAUACCGCAGUAG
rnacentral:rRNA from 1 species